CAGUUAUCUUUACAUUAACUAAACUCUGUGUAUUGUUACAAAUCUAGUGGAUAUUUGCCUCACAUCUCUUCUGCCUGCAGAGAACAACACAACAAAGGGGAAGAAGUGACCAUGGAUGAGGAAGUCCUACAGUACCCGUGUGUGUACUCCUUUUCCCAGAGAUCUGCCAUUUUUCUGCACUAGCAGAUGUAACAUGGUGAAGUCACAAGAUUUUGCAUUAAGUUUUCUUUAGAGAAUUCAACAAGACAGAAUUUCUUUUAUAAGAGAUCUGUGUCAGUGAGUUUCUUCAGUAACUUCCAGACAUAAAAACAUCUCCUUGAUUAAGGAAAAAUCUGACUGGUGCGUUGCUUUUUUGUUUGUUUUUCAAUUCAAAAUCCACAGUUCGUUGAUUCUCUGAAAAUGUAGACUCAAAUUGCAAAGAUAUUGCAUUACAUGCACUUCAUCCAAAUUUCUCAGAGGACAGAAUAGAAGCAGACACUACUCAUCUGAGAUACUAUCUUAUAUAUUAUUUUGAAACAGGUUUGGUAUAAAAAGCAGAAAGAUAGGGACGAUGUGAAAAUUGAGACCCCCGAGUUUGACAUUUUCAAAUGUUCACAGCUUCCAGUGUGAUGUUAAGUUAAAUGAAUGACACUCGAGUAAUCUGGCAGUUUCCAGAGGCCAAGAUGAGCAUGUGUGAGGACUGAUUCUUUAUUACACAUAACUUCUUUAAGCCUUACUGAAGCAAGCACAGCUCCCUAGUGGUCAUCUAGGAGAGUUCAUAAUAAGAGUGAGUGAAAAGGAAGAUAUUUUAACUUAAUAGUCAAAAAACAUUGUGAGAGGGUAGUACAGUAAACCAGAAAUCCUCACCUUCUGAACUCCUUGUAUAAAGAACUGUAAUUGAGGAUUGUGUCACACACUGAAGCUCCCCUAUGAGUUUGAUCAUAACUGAUACAUAAUGUGCAGUUUUAGGGAAAAGUUAAUUUUAAAAUGUUAGAAUAGCAUGCUCCAAACAGUUGUCUCCAUAUGUUUGCAGAUGUAAAUGUAUAGAAGAACAGUGGUUCCUUCAUCCAUGUGCUAUGUUAUCUACAUGUGUAUAUAUAGCUUUAGCAUAUAUGCAUCUUUUUAUUAUCACACUCACUUGUACUUGUGGUACCUAUUAUGCUGUGUACAGAUUUUAUCCUCUGUAAUCCUUUUAUUAUCUCUGUGAAUUUGUAAACGUUUCCUUUGAAGAUUAAUCCCAUAAUUAAAGGGCAUAUUUAAGUAAUGAAACUCUGGAUUGCUCGUACUUAAGUGGCGUGUGCAAUCUUCAACAAUGACAAUACAUCUAAACAUGCAUUUUGGUAGAAGUAACCAAGUGCAAGCUGAUAUUUCCAAAAGAAGGACUUGGAACUGCUGAUACACGACACACCAGGUAAGUGUGAAUAUUUUAUUGUUCAUUAUGCUUUGGUUGGAACAGACUUCGUUUAAGCAGUUACAUUUAAUUCAUGUCUACUGAUGUCGUAUGACGCCUUUCUUGUGUAUUAAACAGAAAAAGGCUCAGUUUUACCAGUACACAAGAGUAAUAUUCCACAACUGACGGAAGAAGCAACAAUAUAUGCUGAAUCAAAGUCUAAAUAUCCUACAUCACAAAUUACUCCAUUUUCUGUUUCAUGCCUUGUCUGCCUGUGGGUAAGCAGGUCAUCAGCUCAUUCUAGUGGAGUCCUAUUUCUUUGGUUACUAAUUUGUUCUGAAAGCUACCUUCAUUUGUGAAAGCUGUCCCACAUUUCCUGCCAUAACAAAGUCUUCCUGCUGGCUGAACAAGAAUAGACUAAAUAAUCCUGCCUGCUGCCAGAAUUCAACAAGGCACAGAUGGAAGUUGCAGUCAUCAGAUGUUUGAGCAGCAGAUUACGCUGCUUCUAGUCAUUGGUGCUGAAGUGUUUCACCAGGGGGAUAAGUUUGUUCACUUGAUCUCUUCAGUUUGGGCUUGAAAUGGAACCCCUGGUGGUGACUUACUGUAAUUAAUGGACCAUCAUAUUAGGAUUUCCCUUAAUUUGCAAUUGUCGGGGGGAAGAAAUGGUGUAUUAAGAUCAAAAUAUGAAUUAUUAUUAUUUUUUUUAACAAAAAGCCACAUCUGAUAAAGUUUUAUAGAAAUACUGAGCAAGCUUCUCUGUCCUUCAAGUAAAACCCUGAGGCUAGAACUGACUGGAUCAUAACAAAUGUCUCACUAACUGCCAAAAAUAUGUAUGGGAAGCACAGCCUUGUUGGGUAACUGAGCACAUGUAAUUUUGAAUAAAUACAGCAAUUGUCAUGUAUUAUUUGAAAAAGAUGGAAUAGAAAGUUGUAAUCUAUUGACCUUGUUCAGGUAAUGAAGACUAAGGAGUUUCAAGCAAAUAUGAGGGGGAAAAAGAAAGAACAAUGAAGUGUUCUGUAGAAAUGUUUUUAUUGAGUCUGGGGCCUUGGCUGGGUAAAAGGAGAUCACAAGACAGUUAAAAAGCUGCAGGAGAUAAAACUGCUGAAUGACCAAAGGAUUAGAGACCUCACUAAAAGUUCUUCUCCUCAAUAUCACUUAGUGAGCCAACACUAAUGAGAUAUUUUGCAAGGAUGAACAUCCAUAAAGAAACUUCUGCAGGUGGUGUUCUUUUAUCUCUUUCUCUUACUCUACCUGGAAGAAAAAACACCCUUAUAGUUGGCCUGUGUAAUUAUUUUUCUUUUGACAGUCUGUCAUAAAGGAAAAUAAAGAAUUAAGUAACAGCAUCCUUUCCAUGUGAUGAGUAGCAACAGUUCUGUAAUCCUUAUCUGAAAUCUGUUGGCAGUUGGAAGUAGGAAAUUUAAUGAUUUUUUUCUUUGAGUUUUAUAAAGGGUACUGGACUGCCAACAUUAACAUGUGACAUUAGCAUUUGUUCCUUAUAAAAUAUAUAUUUCAAGGGAAUUCCUGUUAGAGUAAGCUCAGCUUUCUCAUUUCCUGAUUUCAUCUCCAAACUUUCUUUGGACUUUUUUUUCUGUAUUGUUAAUUUCUUUGUGUGGUACUUUCUUUGCUCGUUGCAUAGGCAGAGCUUUUGGUUACUGGCAGCCUUGACAAAAUUUUCAGAUUGUAGGCAUGAUUUUUUUAAUAACUGCAAAUAAAAAUGGGUUUUUCAAACCUGUAUUUUCUGAAUUUGGUCUAUGUUUUUUUUGCUGGAGGGGUAUUAAAUUAAUUUGAGUUAAAGCUUCCAAGAAUGUAUAACCUUACUCUGUAUCAUAUGGUAAACAGCUUUGUCACCCAAAAAAACUCAGUCCAACUUGUGAAAGUUAAUAAUCAAGCUAUGCUUCAUCACUCCUUCAUGCAAGAUAAGUGAUUAGUUUUCUCUACAAUACAGCGUAGAUAACCAGAACUUGGCACAUGUGCUUGUCUGAUAGCAGUGAAAAACAAACAAGAAGCCAAUAACUGAAGUCUGAAAAGAUGAUGAACAGGAAUUUGCAUGAAAAUUUG